AAAAAAAUUUGUUCCAUUAGUGUUCCAUGAACUCAAUAUAAUGAGUGAGUGGGUCAAAAAAUGGAUAAAUAAAUUUAAGAAUAUAAUUAAAUUUUUUUUAUUUUUAUGAUACUUUAUACAUAAAAAUAUUUUAGUUCUUUAACAAUAUUAAU